UGGUAGAGUACUCGGCUUUUAACCGACUAGUUCCGGGUUCGAGUCCCGGGCAACCCAA
rnacentral:tRNA from 1 species